CAGAGGUAGUGGACUUCAACGGGAAGCUGCUGGAUGCCUUCCAGGCCAUCCACAGCAUCAGUGUCUCGGGCCCACCUGGCCCCCCAGGACCUCCAGGACCCCAGGGAGAAAAGGGUGACCUGGGAGGACCCGGGCCGGCUGGACUGGAUGGCUUUCAGGGUCUGAAAGGGGACAUGGGGGAGAGAGGGGAAGAAGG